GGCUCGGUAGCUCAGUUGGUAGAGCAAUGGAUUGAAGCGCCAUGUGUCGGCGGUUCGAUUCCGUCUCGCGCCA
rnacentral:tRNA from 1 species